GACGAACGCUGGCGGCGUGCUUAACACAUGCAAGUCGAACGGAAAGGCCCUGCUUUUGUGGGGUGCUCGAGUGGCGAACGGGUGAGUAACACGUGAGUAACCUGCCCUUGACUUUGGGAUAACUUCAGGAAACUGGGGCUAAUACCGGAUAGGAGCUCCUGCUGCAUGGUGGGGGUUGGAAAGAUUCGGCGGUUGGGGAUGGACUCGCGGCUUAUCAGCUUGUUGGUGGGGUAGUGGCUUACCAAGGCUUUGACGGGUAGCCGGCCUGAGAGGGUGACCGGCCACAUUGGGACUGAGAUACGGCCCAGACUCCUACGGGACGCAGCAGUGGGGAAUAUUGCACAAUAGGCGGAAGCCUGAUGCAGCAACGCCGCGUGCGGGAUGACGGCCUUCGGGUUGUAAACCGCUUUCGCCUGUGACGAAGCGUGAGUGACGGUAAUGGGUAAAGAAGCUCCGGCUAACUACGUG
rnacentral:rRNA from 1 species